rnacentral:rRNA from 1 species
GAUGAACGCUGGCGGCGUGCCUAAUACAUGCAAGUCGAGCGAACGGACGAGAAGCUUGCUUCUCUGAUGUUAGCGGCGGACGGGUGAGUAACACGUGGAUAACCUACCUAUAAGACUGGGAUAACUUCGGGAAACCGGAGCUAAUACCGGAUAAUAUUUUGAACCGCAUGGUUCAAAAGUGAAAGACGGUCUUGCUGUCACUUAUAGAUGGAUCCGCGCUGCAUUAGCUAGUUGGUAAGGUAACGGCUUACCAAGGCAACGAUGCAUAGCCGACCUGAGAGGGUGAUCGGCCACACUGGAACUGAGACACGGUCCAGACUCCUACGGGAGGCAGCAGUAGGGAAUCUUCCGCAAUGGGCGAAAGCCUGACGGAGCAACGCCGCGUGAGUGAUGAAGGUCUUCGGAUCGUAAAACUCUGUUAUUAGGGAAGAACAUAUGUGUAAGUAACUGUGCACAUCUUGACGGUACCUAAUCAGAAAGCCACGGCUAACUACGUGCCAGCAGCCGCGGUAAUACGUAGGUGGCAAGCGUUAUCCGGAAUUAUUGGGCGUAAAGCGCGCGUAGGCGGUUUUUUAAGUCUGAUGUGAAAGCCCACGGCUCAACCGUGGAGGGUCAUUGGAAACUGGAAAACUUGAGUGCAGAAGAGGAAAGUGGAAUUCCAUGUGUAGCGGUGAAAUGCGCAGAGAUAUGGAGGAACACCAGUGGCGAAGGCGACUUUCUGGUCUGUAACUGACGCUGAUGUGCGAAAGCGUGGGGAUCAAACAGGAUUAGAUACCCUGGUAGUCCACGCCGUAAACGAUGAGUGCUAAGUGUUAGGGGGUUUCCGCCCCUUAGUGCUGCAGCUAACGCAUUAAGCACUCCGCCUGGGGAGUACGACCGCAAGGUUGAAACUCAAAGGAAUUGACGGGGACCCGCACAAGCGGUGGAGCAUGUGGUUUAAUUCGAAGCAACGCGAAGAACCUUACCAAAUCUUGACAUCCUCUGACCCCUCUAGAGAUAGAGUUUUCCCCUUCGGGGGACAGAGUGACAGGUGGUGCAUGGUUGUCGUCAGCUCGUGUCGUGAGAUGUUGGGUUAAGUCCCGCAACGAGCGCAACUCUUAAGCUUAGUUGCCAUCAUUAAGUUGGGCACUCUAAGUUGACUGCCGGUGACAAACCGGAGGAAGGUGGGGAUGACGUCAAAUCAUCAUGCCCCUUAUGAUUUGGGCUACACACGUGCUACAAUGGACAAUACAAAGGGUAGCGAAACCGCGAGGUCAAGCAAAUCCCAUAAAGUUGUUCUCAGUUCGGAUUGUAGUCUGCAACUCGACUAUAUGAAGCUGGAAUCGCUAGUAAUCGUAGAUCAGCAUGCUACGGUGAAUACGUUCCCGGGUCU